rnacentral:rRNA from 1 species
AACGACCGCUAAUACCCCAUAUGCCUACUGGUGAAAUGAAUUUCGCCUGAGGAUGAGCUCGCGUCUGAUUAGCUAGUUGGUGAGGUAAUGGCUCACCAAGGCUUCGAUCAGUAGCUGGUCUGAGAGGAUGAUCAGCCACACUGGGACUGAGACACGGCCCAGACUCCUACGGGAGGCAGCAGUGGGGAAUUUUCCGCAAUGGGCGAAAGCCUGACGGAGCAACGCCGCGUGAGGGACGAAGGCCUCUGGGCUGUAAACCUCUUUUCUCAAGGAAGAAGAUAUGACGGUACUUGAGGAAUAAGCCACGGCUAAUUCCGUGCCAGCAGCCGCGGUAAUACGGGAGUGGCAAGCGUUAUCCGGAAUUAUUGGGCGUAAAGCGUCCGCAGGCGGCUUUUCAAGUCUGCUGUUAAAGCGUGGAGCUUAACUCCAUCAUGGCAGUGGAGACUGAAAGGCUUGAGUAUGGUAGGGGCAGAGGGAAUUCCCGGUGUAGCGGUGAACUGCGUAGAUAUCGGGAAGAACACCAGUGGCGAAGGCGCUCUGCUGGGCCAUUACUGACGCUCAUGGACGAAAGCCAGGGGAGCG